CUGGCACAGAACAUCAGUUUUUUAAACUAACCAAUAAAACAAACAAAUUCCCUGAAAGUAAUAUCAAGUAGUGUGCAAGUGAAAUGGCAAGUUUCUGGAGUUCCUGCUCCAAUUGUGCAAGUUUUAGAUUACUGCUCUCCGGCUGCUGCACACAUGCCUUCACCAAAGAUGAGAAGUAAAUUAUGAUGGCUAAUUUGAUAUAUGG
rnacentral:lncRNA from 1 species